rnacentral:rRNA from 1 species
CCUACGGGUGGCAGCAGUGAGGAAUAUUGGUCAAUGGGCUUACGCCUGAACCAGCCAAGUCGCGUGAGGGAAGACUGCCCUAUGGGUUGUAAACCUCUUUUGUCAGGGAGCAACGCCGGCUACGUGUAGCCGGACUGAGAGUACCUGAAGAAAAAGCAUCGGCUAACUCCGUGCCAGCAGCCGCGGUAAUACGGAGGAUGCGAGCGUUAUCCGGAUUUAGUGGGUGUAAAGGGAACGCAGGCGGUCUUUUAAGUCUGAUGUGAAAGCCUUGGGCUUAACCCGAGGAUUGCAUAUGGAACUAUCAGGCUAGAGUACAGGAGAGGAAAGCGGAAUUCCUGGUGUAGCGGUGAAAUGCGUAGAUAUUAGGAAGAACACCAGUGGCGAAGGCGGCUUUCUGGACUGAAACUGACGCUGAGGCACGAAAGCGUGGGGAGCGAACAGGAUUAGAUACCCGGGUAGUC